rnacentral:lncRNA from 1 species
AGUGCCAGCCCGUGGCCACCUCAGAGCUUGCACAGGCUGUUCCCACUGCCUGGAACUUGCUCAUCCUGCACUUGGCUUCUCUCGGCUUUAGCUGGAGUCACCCUGAGCGUCCCCUCCCCUCCAUCCUGUCCCCAGGGACACACGCUCCCAGAGAGCAGUUGCUGAGUGGGCCUCCCCGCCUCUUCCAUAAAGCCAGAUAGUUGGUGACUGUCCUUACUGCAAACCCUGGUUCACACUGGCUCCCCUGGGAGGGAGGUGGUUUGGGCCCACAUGCCCUGUGUUCCUGCUCAGAAUGGGCGUUAGAAAUGCUGCCAUAGCCUGUGCCACUGCAGUGGAAGCAUCUUUAGGAAACGGCUUAUAUCUUAAGACAAACUUCAGAUGCGUGGGGCCAGAACGCUGUGUCCAUCUGCAUCUUUGCUGAGGGAUCAGGUAGCCUGGAGUUUGCCCUCUGCUGUGUUGGCUUGAAGCUCAUAGGAGACUUAAGAUGGGCUCUCGAGCAACCAACGUUCUGUCCUUUGCCGUAGACUGUGAGGCAUCCUGUGUGUGUGAAGCACCCGCCGUCAGUCAAGUAUGCCUGGUGCUUUCUCUCAGAACUCAUCAAAAAGCCCUCGGGAGGCUCGGUCACACUCUCCGAAAGCAUGGCCAUCAUCUCCCACAGCACCACGGGUCUGGUCACAUGGGAUGCCGCCCUCUACAUUGCAGAAUGGGCCAUCGAGAACCCGGCAGCCUUCACUCACAGGUCUGUCUUAGAGCUUGGCAGUGGUGCCAGCCUCACAGGCCUGGCCAUCUGCAAGAUAUGCCGCCCCCGGGCAUACAUCUUCAGCGACUGUCACAGCCGAGUCCUCGAGCAGCUCCAAGGAAAUGUCCUUCUCAAUGGCCUCUCAUUAGAGGCAGACAUCACUGCCAACUUAGACAGCCCUAGGGUGACAAUGGCCCAGCGCUGGACUGGGACGUAGUGACGGUCCAUCAGCGCUCUGCCUUCCAGCUAGAUGUUGUCAUUGCAGCAGAUGUGCUGUAUUGCCCAGAAGCCAUUGUGUCACUGGUCAGGGUCCUGCGGAGGCUGGCUGCCUGCCGGGAGCACCAGCGGGCUUCUGAGGUCUACGUGGCCUUCGCUGUCCGCAAUUGAGAGACGUGCCAGCUGUUCACCACCGAGCUAGGUGAGCCCCCACCCCAGCCUGGGCCUGUAUGUCCCUGAGCUGUCAC